CUCACUGCCACACUAGACCCACCAAUCACAUAAAGUACACGACUCAAAUUAUUACACUUAUAAUGUCCGACGACAUAGAGUUGAGCCUUCAAGUAGGAAUAGAAUUUGUAACACCCAACUCCUUGUUCUGAGCAUUUGCAUUUCAUUUCAUAUAUUGAACCUUCGUACAAGUCAAUACAACCAUUUGAGACUUGUUGAGAUGGUUUGAAUUGGGACCUAAUGGACUCGGGUGGAUUUGAGCACAAUCAUAGCAAGUUGAGAAAAAUAAAAAAAUGCAAACUUAUGCUCUGUGCCACACCCUCAUAGCACAAGGCAAAGUGCUGGCACAAUAGGGGUGCACCGAGCCACCUAAGCCCAAGGCAUGUGCACAAUGGGCGUGCGGCGCGCGACCUAUAAUACAAGUAUAAAAUUGAAAGAUUCAAAUCAUUGGAGUUCACUUUGGCGCUUCAAGAUUAGGAAGCUUGUCGUUUACGAUAUCCUUCUACUAAUGCUACCGCAAAACUACAUUGUUCUUCGUUCAAGAGGUAUUUCAUACGCGGCUGGGGUGAGCCAACCAUAGUAUCUUCAUAGUGGCUACUAUGUUUACUUUCUCUUUUUAGUAUUUCAGGUUGAGUCUCUAGUCCCUUGUACUAUGAGUCUUAUAGAUGCUUGUUGAUGUUGAAUAACGGGUUUGUGCUAUAAUUUGACUUUUAAGUUGUUAGUUCAUUCUGUUUCUUUCAAAUUAUACUAUAUAUGUUAUGAUUAUAACA